rnacentral:lncRNA from 1 species
AAUAACUUAUCCAUACAGUUUGGUCAUAGAUUAAAAAUAAUCUGCAUUAAGAUUGGAAUUGGAAGCAGAAGGGUCCUCAGUUCAGGGCCAGUCAGUGGUACAGACUAAGACCCUGUUCUCCUCAUUACCUGUUGAUCAGACAGAUAAGCAUACAGCACUCUCUGGCAGUUUGCUGACUUUUGAUCCAGUCCAGUGAGCAGACAUGAAAGGCAACAAUGUCCACCGCACACAGGAAAUGUCCAAGGAAAGCAAUCUAAAGUCACAUUUGCACAGCUGGGCUGUGGCAAGGCCAAGCAGGCUCUAACUAGAUACCGAUAGUCUUACAGGGCUAGGCUGUAACCCUGCUGCUCUGCUCUGUCACAUCUGGUCUGAUCUUUCCUAGUGGGACGCUGAUGAACAGGCAUUUAACACAACCGUGAAACAGCUGCUGUCACGCCUGCCAAAGCAAAGAUACCUCAAACUCGUCUGCGACGAAAUCUAUAACAUCAAAGUUGAGAAGAAGGUGUCGGUGUUGUUCCUGUACAGCUACAGAGAUGACUACUACAGAAUCCUAUUCUGACCCUAAAGAACUGCUGCUGUAUUGUUCAGAUGGACAGGGACUUGUACUGGAAUAAUGGAAUGUUGUGCAUUCAAUCCAUUUUAACUUUAAAUUCUAAUAAGCUGUCCUACAAAGCUGAGCUUUGUCGGUUUUUCAUGUGUUAUAAAUUCACCUUUUUGAUAUAAUAAAUGUUUUCAUAUAU